rnacentral:miRNA from 1 species
AGCCAUCCACGCACUAACUCUCAC